rnacentral:rRNA from 1 species
UACGUAGGUGGCAAGCGUUGUCCGGAUUUACUGGGCGUAAAGAGCGCGCAGGCGGUUGGGUAAGUCGAAUGUGAAAGCCCCCGGCUCAACUGGGGAGGGUCAUUCGAUACUGUCCGACUCGAAGGCAGGAGAGGGAAGCGGAAUUCCCGGUGUAGUGGUGAAAUGCGUAGAUAUCAGGAGGAACACCGGUGGCGAAGGCGGUUCUCUGGGCAUUACCUGACGCUGAGGAGCGAAAGUGUGGGGAGCGAACAGG